rnacentral:rRNA from 1 species
AUGCAAGUCGAGGGGUAUCAGUUUGGUUUGCUUGCAAACCAAAGCUGGCGACCGGCGCACGGGUGAGUAACACGUAUCCAACCUGCCUCAUACUCGGGGAUAGCCUUUCGAAAGAAAGAUUAAUAUCCGAUAGCAUAUAUUUCCCGCAUGGGUUUUAUAUUAAAGAAAUUCGGUAUGAGAUGGGGAUGCGUUCCAUUAGUUUGUUGGGGGGUAACGGCCCACCAAGACUACGAUGGAUAGGGGUUCUGAGAGGAAGGUCCCCACAUUGGAACUGAGACACGGUCCAAACUCC